GCAAGAGCACACAACUAUGUCUCUACCAUUUUAUUUAGAUUUCGCAAUGUACUAUUUUGUACUUUCCAAUUCCACCAUCUCCCCUACAUCUGCAAUUUAGGGUUUUCACAAAUUGAAAUGUGCAGGCCUAAUGGAAAACUCUGAAGCCUCCAAUUUCCUCACAAAUGCUGCCGAUACAAACCCUAAAUUAGGGUUUCAAUCCUCUUUCAAUGCUGAUUCAGAUUCUGAUCAGACUUUGGAACUAGGCAAAAAGCUAGAGCGGAAGCCUCUUUAUUUGACAGAGGCCGGGGUAGUGUUUGAGGAGGCUGCACCUGAUAUAGCAGUGGUGGAGAAAGUAUAUGAAAAACUGGAGAAGCAGCUUCAUUUGAAAGAGGAUGAGGAGGACAAACAUUCGAUUGAAUGGAACCAAGAUGACUACUUUAACAGUGUAGAGAGCAUUGAUGGAGAAGAACACAACAGGUAUGAUAAAGAGGAUAAUGAUAAUAAUGAUGAGAAGUUAGAUGAUGAAGCUGAGGAGAAGAAUGAGAGUAUUAAUGGUAACAGAAGGCAUCAGUAUCCAGUAAGACCUGAAGCUGAAGAUUGUGCCUUCUAUAUGAAAACUGGUACUUGUAAAUUUGGAUCCAAUUGCAAGUUCAAUCACCCUGUAAGAAGGAAAAGCCAGGCUACCAAGGAGAAGGUGAAGGAAAGGGAGGAAGCAGCAGAGAGAUCUGACCAGACAGAAUGCAAGGUUCUCUAAUAUAUUUGUGUCCUUUUACUCUGCAUUAAGAAAAAUUGUUGUUUAAAAGUUCAUUUUAUUUUUACUCCCAUUUUAGCGUUCUUUUUUGUUGUGAGAGUUUGAUCUCUUUUGCUUUCUGUUUCUACUUUGAUUGAUUGUUGUGAGCUGGAUCAUUAAUGGUUGUUUUCCGAUAGGAUUUAUUUGUUUAUUAAAUUGUGACUUUGAGAUACUGUUAAAAGCAUGUUACACAGCAUUAGUUUUGAAGGAAAAGAUUUCCAUUUAUUAGCAUGUUGAGUGUUCUCGACUGGUGUUCUUGUUCAGUUUCGCUUUGCACAAGCAUAGUUUUAACUCUCAAACCUACAAUUGCUUUUGGUUUAUAGCCUUUCUUUAAGGCAUUAUGGCCUAGUGCAAGUUGUGGUUUGGACAGGAUUUCUUUGAACUUAAUUUGCCUCAUAGGAAUUAAGAUUUGUUAAAAUGAUAAAUUUUGUGCAACUCAUUUAUUAGUUUAUUAAUCAAGUUGUUUUCAGUUCUUUAUCUUUUUUGUUCAUUGAAACUUAAAUAUCUAGUAAGCUGGUUUUAGAAGAUGUUCAUGUUCAUAGCUUUAUGCAAUAUGCAUGGCUAGUGAAUAACAGUUUCUGCUCUUCUAUAAUUUUUCUCGAGUUUGUUGCAGUAUUACUUGAGGACAGGGGGUUGUAAGUAUGGAAAAGCUUGUAGAUAUAAUCACUCAAGAGCAAAAACUCCAGUGCUCCCUGCAAAAACAACAGUAUUCCCUGUUUUAGAACUUAACUUUCUGGGUCUGCCAAUCCGACUGGUAUCUCUUUUAUUUAUAUAGAAAAACAUUUUGCAUGUCUUUGCAAAUUCUUUCAAGAACUUAUCUUUGUUUUAACAAUGCAUACUGGAAAUGUUAACAUAUUUCACUAAUCAUAGGGAGAGAGAGAGUGCCCGUAUUAUAUGCGUAAUGGUUCCUGCAAGUAUGGAGUGAACUGCCGGUUUAAUCAUCCAGAUCCUACAGCUGCUGGAGGAAGUGACCCUCCUUCAGCAUUCAGUAAUGGUGGGGCUGCUGCUUUACAGAGUUCCUCACAAUCAAGUGUAGCAUCUUGGUCUUUACCAAGAGGACUAAAUGAGGCUGCCCCCUUUCCAAUUAUGUUUUCACCAACUCAAGGGGUUCCUUCACAAAAUCCUGAAUGGAAUGGAUAUCAGGCUCCUGCAUUUCCACCAGAGAGGAGGAGUAUACACCCAGGUUCAGCGUAUGUCAUAAGCAAUCCAGCUACAGAUACCAACGUCUAUGCGCAUCAGCAGCAGAUGACAUUCGAUGAAUAUCCAGAACGACCUGGACAACCAGAGUGCAGUUAUUAUUUGAAAACUGGAGGCUGUAAAUUCAAGUCUAAUUGCAAAUAUCAUCAUCCAAAGAAUCAGAUCCCAAAGUCAUCUCCAUGUGCUCUUAGUGACAAGGGCCUGCCGUUGAGACCUGGUCAGCAUGUAUGUUCAUACUAUAGCCGGUAUGGUAUUUGCAAGUUUGGACCUGCUUGUAAGUUUGACCAUCCAACACAACCAGCUUUAAUGACAGGGUAUGCUGAAGAUCAGACUAGAACGUCUGAAACUGGAAAUGAAAGUGAUACUGCAAUUUAGCAGAAUUGUAAAAUAAUUUUUCGUCAAUCAAACUAGCCUUUUAGGGUCCAUGAUACAGGGGAUUUUAAAUUUUCUCCAUGAUAGUGGAUCUUUUAUUUUACCUUCUCUCUGGUUCAUCUGCCGCAAGAUUUUGAAACUGUGGCGUUUUUCAUUUAUCAUGUGUUGUGUUGCUACAACCCAAAUGAAAUCGGGAUAUGUAAAUUCUCCAUUUAAUGUUCUUUACUGGCUUUGUUUAUUUAUUUAAUAAUUUAACUUUGCAUUUGCCAAAUAAUACACAUGCGGCU
rnacentral:misc_RNA from 1 species